UGUAAUUACUUCUAAAAGGGUUGGUAUUUAUGUUAUUUAUACUAAAAAAAAAUUGGAUCGACUAACCAUGAAUGUUCAAUGACCCAAACAUAAGUGAAUUGGUUUGGAAAGGGCCGGCCCAUGUCCUUUUCACUUCAGUGUGGUCUGCAACCAAGAGGCCCAAAAUACAAAAAGCAGCCCACCUAGCCCUUAACCGUGACCUGAAUAACCGACCCGUGUUUUGUUACCCUUAUUUAAUCAGGGAUCGGAGAAUGGAACAUAGAUUUUCUCUUCGAUCAAACGAGGGAUUGGCUUUAUGCUCUGCUAAAUUUUCCUCUCAAUUGUUCCAUUGAAUCCAUCUUCCACUGUUGUUUUUGUUGAAUUUGUUUAUUAUUUGCCUGUUGAUACCGCAUCAAGGGUUUGGGCUAGAUUUAAUUGUCUUCUGAACAUGAUUUAAUUUAUUACCAAUGAAAAAAUAAGUUUUUUUUGCUAAAGAUAGUAUUUUUCUAAUGUUAUUAUUAGGGCAAACCACAAAAAUUUAGGAUCUUUAGACCAUAAUUACAGGGCGCAACAUAGGCUUCAAAAACAUUACACUUUCUGUUUGAAGAAGAAUUGGAAUAGAGAUAUUUUCUGCAACUGAAGAACACGAUACAAGAAAAAGGGGACGUGUAUCUUCAUAUACCUGUGUAUGUUAGGCGAUGUUAGAACGUUUGUCUAAUUCUGUAGUUUUUCCUCAUUAUAAUAUUAUAAUAUAUAUACGGAAGCAAAGAUCUUGCCUUUGGUUGGACUGUGACGUAUAUAUCCUGUUGGACGAUUUACAAUUAGGAAAGGGAGAGUUUUCAUUCAAUUAGGGCCAGGAUUAUCUGCUAAGAUUUUCUCAGUGUUUUACGGGCUGGAUUGUUUGAUUGAAUCCAUAUUUGAUCAUAGAUUUGCUUGAAUUGUUCUUAGAUUUUUGCUGCCUUCACUGGGUACAUUUUUUACACUGGUUUGUUACUUUUGAUUUGAGAGUUCCUACACGUUGAAUUUUAACCAGUAAUUGUAUACUACUCCCUCCUUUUUAGUUUGUUUGGCCUAAUUUCCUGUAGUAAUCUGUUUCAGAAAGAAUGGUACUUUCCUUUUUUUUAGGAACCCUUCGUUUCCAUAAGACCACUAGAUUAAAGAAAAUUUUGUUACAUUUGACGUAUCUUUAAUUUAGGACCAUAAGAUUCAAAAGUUUCUUUAUUUUCUUAAACUCUGAAAUAGGGAAAUAAUAAUUUUUAUAUGGUCCAGAUAUGUAUCGAGGGCCAAUAUUUUUUUUUUUUGUGUGUGUGUGAUAUCUAGUUGUUAAUGGCCGUUAUCUUGAGCUCACUAUUUUUUAGAAGUACCCAUGCACCGUGUUUAGUUACCUCUUGUGCUUUGAGGGUGGAAAGCUCGAACCACUUUAUAGGUGUUGUAGGUUAUUUAUUCUCGAGACUCCUCAUAAUUAAGCAUCAUGACAAGUAAGUCUUCCUAAAUUCAUGUGAUACCUUUGUACUCUUAAUGGUUAUGGUCUUUUUAAUUGUUGCAGAAUCCUGCGUGAAUAUGUGAAGUUGUUGAAUUAUUAAUCUAGGAUGAAAUUAACCCUAUAUCUAACUAGGAUUCAUAAAUUAUGAUGAUUUUAAAGAGUAAGGGGACAAUGAUAUUUUUCCUAAAGUUAUUCUCAAAAAAAUCUUUUCCCUAAAACUCCCCUUUCCUUCAUAACUCGACAGUGUAGUCGUUUUAUCUUCCUGACCCUUCAGCCAAGCUGCCUUGUCUUGUAUGUUCACUGCAUUGAUGUUUGAUAGCUGUUCCUACUCCCCAAGCCUCCUUCCUUUCAAACUCAGGAAGUAUAGCUGGUUUCCCUCUAUUUUGAGUUCCCAUCUUGGGUAUUUGAAUAUCUAAAUCUUUUAGGCUCACUUGCCUCUUAGUUUGAGUGGUAACUCUUUUUUGAAAAAAAUAAUUUAAAAUAAACUAAAUACCAACUGUUUGGCUUUGAGUUUUCCUACAAAGCCUUAGAGAACAACAAUGCUGGAUCUUUGCCCAGUGUAUUAGGUUUGAGCCCAACUUUUGGACAAUGAGUACCCUUUGUGGGGGGGCUGGGGGGGGGGGGGGCUCCUGGCAUAAUGAAGCUAGUGACCUGGAUUCUUGGCAAAGGUGGGCAACAGGGCCAGCCAAGCAUGCAUUUAGUUAAAAGAUCAAAAAGAAGGUCGAUAUUGCACAUUGCUCAUUAGUUCUUGGUCAUUUAUAGAAUUCUUGCCUGCACUCAUUUUGUCAUUAUGAUGGCAGUACUGAAUCGUGUUGCUCUACAGCUGAAGACUGUAUCAAAGCCGAUAGCUUCUGGGUUGAACCCCAAAUUCCAACGAUUCAUCUCAGAAACGGCUCUGAGACACCGAGGUGAAAUUAAUAUGGCCAAAGCUGGUUAUCUUGUCAAGGCAGUCAGUUCAUUGCUGCCCAAGUGCUUCUAUACGAUGGUAGGUUUUUUUUUUUUUUAUCAAUGAUUAUAGGAAGUCGUGGAAGCGUGAUGUCGAGUUGGAAGCUUUGAGAGAGGUACAUCAAAGAGAGGUUUGCUCGAGAUUGGCGUCGUUUCCCUUAUGCUAUUUUCCCAUGGGUUGUUUAUCCAAGCACAACAGCUAGCCUCCGUCCGGACCUGUGUUCCCUCUAUAUAAAAAGCACCCGGCUUAUCAGAGAGCACUACACUUGGGGCUCGUUUGGCACGAAGAUAAUUUAUGCAGGGAUUAUAGUACUAAAAUUAUUUUUUAUCAGUGUUUGGUUUAUUGUAUUAAAAAUUAGAUAUACCGUGUAUUAUGUUUGAUUUAAAAUACUACAAAAAUUUUCUUUACAAUUA